CAACCCUCAAGCCUAGCUUGGUCUUGGGCUCUGCCGGCAACGGCUGGCCUUAAAAUCAGUGGCGGUGCCAUCGAGCUCAACGCGUAGUAAUUAAACCCUCGCGUGUGAGUCUUGGUGAGUGCUUGCCAGCAACCCCCAAUUUCUAUGG
rnacentral:misc_RNA from 1 species